rnacentral:rRNA from 1 species
AAUGAACGCUGGCGGCAGGCCUAACACAUGCAAGUCGAACGGAUCCUUCGGGAUUAGUGGCGGACGGGUGAGUAACGCGUGGGAACAUACCCUUUGGUACGGAAUAGCCUCGGGAAACUGGGAGUAAUACCGUACGUGGUCGAGAGACGAAAGAUUUAUCGCCAAAGGAUUGGCCCGCGUUGGAGUAGGUAGUUGGUGGGGUAAUGGCCUACCAAGCCGACGAUCCAUAGCUGGUUUGAGAGGACGAUCAGCCACACUGGGACUGAGACACGGCCCAGACUCCUACGGGAGGCAGCAGUGGGGAAUCUUAGACAAUGGGGGAAACCCUGAUCUAGCCAUGCCGCGUGAUCGAUGAAGGCCUUAGGGUUGUAAAGAUCUUUCAGGUGGGAAGAUAAUGACUGUACCACCAGAAGAAGCCCCGGCUAACUCCGUGCCAGCCGCCGCAGUAA